rnacentral:lncRNA from 1 species
UGCCUGAGUCUGCUCACCACCCUCCCGGGGAAGGACUCGGUAUAAAGGCAGAUGUUUAUCUGCUGAGUACCUGCUAUGAGCAGAGCACAGUGCCAGGAGCUAUUGUCAAAGAGAAGCACCUUUCCAGGAGCUUCUCAUAGAGAAGAGUCUUUAACACGAUUUGUGAUCGUGGGUGGAAGAUGGACUCAGAAGUUACCCUCAGGGAGCUACUGUUUUUGAUGCUGACCCAGAAGCACUUCUUUCCGGUCUGGAGAUGGACACAACUACCAGCAAGGGAAGCUGCUCUCACACUUGACCUGCAGAGGCAGAGGAAGAAAUGCUAUGACUGGUGCCCAGGUGAAAGCUGGAGCCCUGGACGAGGGGCUGCUUGAGAGGAGCUGUGGCUGUAGAAGGAUGGGACAGCUGCCAGAAGGACUGCCCAGCAGGGCGUCACACCAGCCAUUGAGGAAUCAGGAAUCAACAAGCCAGACCUGGUCCUCAACUUUAUGGAGCUUACAGUCUAGGAUGGAAACAAAUAUGGAGCAUGCGAAUAAAGGGAG